GCGCCCGGUAGUUUCCCUCAAAACCGCUCAACGCCAACGCCAGGUGCCUACUCCUCGCCCUGGACUGCCCGGCGGUGUAAGUUAACGUCGGGCGGUGCGUCGACUCUUCAAAUCUUCAAUUUUCUUCUCUUUUCUUGAGUCUACGACCUUUAUCUUCAAUUUCAUUCUUCACUUUCUCGAAAAUGCUACAAAACAAUGCAAAGCAAGCAUAAUAUCUCUAAAAACAGCUUUUGACUCUCUACAGA
rnacentral:lncRNA from 1 species